rnacentral:misc_RNA from 1 species
UACGUAGGUGGCAAGCGUUGUCCGGAUUUACUGGGCGUAAGGCGCGUGCAGGCGGUUCGGCAAGUUGGAUGUGAAAGCUCCUGGCUCAACUGGGAGAGGCCGUUCAAUACUGCCGGACUAGAGGACGGUAGAGGGAGGUGGAAUUCCCGGUGUAGUGGUGAAAUGCGUAGAUAUCGGGAGGAACACCAGUGGCGAAGGCGGCUUCCUGGGCCGCUCCUGACGCUCAGACGCGAAAGCUAGGGGAGCAAACGGG